UUACGGCCAUAUCAGGUUGUAACACCGCUUCUUAUCCGAUCACAUAAGUUAAGCAACGUCGACCAUGGUCAGUACCUAGAACGGUGACCGCUUGCGUAUACCAGGUGCUGUAA